rnacentral:lncRNA from 1 species
UCCUUAAUGCAUUGAAUAUGGUUGGCGGUCUUUUAUAUCCGCUUUUCUUUUUUGUGUUCUUGAUGAGAUUCUUUAUUGUUCUAAAUUGUCCUAGGGGUCCGGGGACGGUGGUGUGGAGCUCUGGCUGCUCAUCGUGUGCUGACUGUUCAUGGCGGGGUGGUUUGGGUUGGGUGGUGGAGUUAUUCCGCUGUUUUCUGGCCACUUCUCUCGGGGGCUUGUCGAUAGUGCCUGGGUUGUAGCCAUGGUCUCGGGCUGUCUUUUUUGUGUUGUCUGUUUCAGCAUUGAAGUCCUCGUCCUCAGUGCAGUGGGUGGUGGCCCUGUUUACUGGUGAGUUUAUGGCAGAUCUUUUGUGCCUCCACUUAUUGUCGGACCAAUUAGGUACCUCCCUUUUUUUGCUUAUAGAGUCUCCCAUUGAACUUCAA